UACGUAGGGUGCGAGCGUUAAUCGGAAUUACUGGGCGUAAAGCGUGCGCAGGCGGUUCGUUAAGACAGAUGUGAAAUCCCCGGGCUUAACCUGGGAACUGCAUUUGUGACUGGCGAGCUAGAGUAUGGCAGAGGGGGGUAGAAUUCCACGUGUAGCAGUGAAAUGCGUAGAGAUGUGGAGGAAUACCGAUGGCGAAGGCAGCCCCCUGGGCCAAUACUGACGCUCAUGCCACGAAAGCGUGGGGAGCAAAC
rnacentral:rRNA from 1 species